rnacentral:tRNA from 2 species
GAGAUAUUAGUAAAUUUAUUACAUAACUUUGUCAAAGUUAAAUUAUAAGCCUAAGCUUAUAUAUCUUG